rnacentral:rRNA from 1 species
AGCGAACGCUGGCGGCAGGCCUAAUACAUGCAAGUCGAGCGCACCUUCGGGUGAGCGGCGGACGGGUGAGUAACUCGUGGGAAUGUGCCCUUUGGUACGGAACAACUGAGGGAAACUUCAGCUAAUACCGUAUGUGCCCUUCGGGGAAAGAUUUAUCGCCAUUGGAGCAGCCCGCGUUGGAUUAGGUAGUUGGUGAGGUAAAGGCUCACCAAGCCUACGAUCCAUAGCUGGUCGAGAGGAUG